AAAACGAUAAUCGUGAGAGGAAACAGGCGUAAAUCCUGUGCUCCCCCGGAACGGUUAAAGCCCGGUCGACUCACCAUUA
rnacentral:ncRNA from 2 species